GUUUUUUUUACGUUUCCGUGUCUUCUUGUUGAGCAUUGCGGCGCAGCUCGCCUCGCUGCGGUUGGUGGUGGCGCUGGAGGUUGCAGCGCGGCUGGAGGGGUACAGAGGAUGAAAAUAGUUUUGGGAUAGAUAGAGGUUGUUUGAGGGACGUUCAUCGAGGAAACCAGAGAAACAUGAAACGCUCUUCUGCUUCUUUAGAACAGUCACAGAGAAAAGUAAACUCCUUUCAUUCUUACCAACCUGCUGGGUUGGUGACAUUUACAAGAGAGUCUUGAAGAUUUUCCAGAACGGGAAAGGAAGCCAUCAUUCUUUAGAGGGCAAUGACCAAGCAGUACCAGCAGAAAUUGAAGUACCAGCAGAAGGCUAAGAAGGGAUCAUGGCACAAGUUGCAGUUUCCACCCUGCCCAUUGAAGAUGAGGAGUCCAUGGAAGAUGAGGAGUCUGUUGAAGACGAGGAGUCCGUUGAAGAUGAGUCCGCAGAGAGCAGGAUGCUGGUGACGUUGCUCAUAUCAGCUCUUGAGUCCAUGGAUCAUGGCACAAGUUGCAGUUUCCACCCUGCCCAUUGAAGAUGAGGAGUCUGUUGAAGAUGAGUCCUUGGAGAGCAGGAUGGUGGUGACAUUCCUAAUGUCAGCUCUCGAGUCCACGAGUCUCUGUUUCACCCAAUCUGGAGUGCAAUGAUGCAGUCGUACCUAACUGCAGCCUCAACCACCUGGGCUCAAGCAAUUCUCCCGCCUCAGCCUUCCAAUCAUCUGGGACUACAGGUGCACAGCAUCCAUGCCCAGCUAAUUUUUGUAUUUUUUUGUAGAGAUGGGAUCUUGUUAUGUUGCCGAGGCUGGUCUUGAACUCUGGGGCUAAAGCGAUCCUUUCACCACAGCCUCUCAAGUAGCUGAAACUACAGAUGCAUACCACCAUGCCCAGCUAAUUUUUUCUUACUUCUUUUUGUUGUUUAAUUGAGGGGGUCUCACUGUGUUUCGCAGGCUAGUUCUGAACUUCUGGCCUCAAGCGUUUCUCCUGCUUUGACCUCCUAAACUGUUGGGAUUAUGGUUGUGAGCCCCGGCCUCUGUGUCCAGCAAUCACAAGAGGUCUUUAUAAGUGAAAGAGGGAGGUAAGAGAGUCAGAAUUGAAGGAGAUUUGAUGAUGCAAGCACAGGUCACAGAGGGAGAUUCGAAUAUGCUUUGCUUCUGGCUUUGAAGAUGCAGUUAGGGGCCAUGAGCCAAAGAAUAGGGGUGGCUUUAGCAACUGGAAAAGGCAAGGGAACACAUUCUCUCUGGAACCUCCAGAAGGGAUGCAGUCCUGCUAACGCCUUGACUUUAGCCUUAAUAGACCUAUUUUGGACUUCUGGCCCCCAGACCUGUUCGGUAGUAGAUUUGUGGUGUAUUAAGCCACUCAAUGUAGGGUAGUUUGUAACAGCAGCAAGAAGAAAUGAACAUGAAGCCAGGGGUAGUGGCCCACACCUAUAAUUCCAGCUAUUUAGGAGGCUGAGGCAGGAUGGUUGCUUUGGCCCAGGAGUUCAAGAUAAACCUGGGCAACAAAGUGAUACCCUGUCUACAUGGAAAAAAAAAAUUAGCGGGUGUGGUGGCAUCCACUUGUAGUCUUAGCUACUAGAGGCGCUGAGGCAGGACGAUUUCUUGACCUAGGAGUUCCAGGUCUCAGUGUGUUGUGAUCGUGCCAUGGUGCCAUGGUGCUUCAGCCUGAGUGACACAGCGAGAUUAUAUCUUUAAAAAAAAAAAAGAAAGUAAAAAGAAAUGAGUGAGCAUGGCAGGAAUGGGGACACAUAGCAAUAUUAAACAGAGUGGUCAGGAUUGGCCUCCUAAGUGAAAAUUGAGCAAAGACUUGAAGGAGGGGAAGGAGCUGGCCAAGGUACUGAGGGAAGAGAAUUGUAGGCAGAAACAACAGAAUAAAGAUGCUAAGAGGGAACUCCGUGGUGUGUCUGAAGCUCGGGAAAGAGGCCUGUGGAGCAGAGAGAGGGAGAGAAGGUAGGGGAGGAGGCCAGGGAGUUGUGGGGCUCAGAUCAGUACAGAUUGUGUAAGCCCUGGGAGGCUACUGCUGGGGCUUUGGCUUUUAUUCUGUCUGAGAUGGGAGAUGCGGAAGGGUUCUGAGCAGAGAGGUGACACGAACUGUCUACUGAUUUAAAAGCAUCCCAUGGUGGCUGAGUUGAGAAAGAUUGUGGGAAGAUUUGUGUAGAAGCACGGAGGCCAAGCUGUGGCAACAUCCAGGUAGGAGAUGAUAGUGGUUCUGACCAGGGUCCUGGCAAUGGUGAGAGAUGGUUGAUUCUUGUUGAGAUUACUAGGUAAUUAAAAAAAACAAAACACUACUGCUUUUCCUGAUUAUAUGAAGUAUGGGAUGCUAGAUUAAAGACAUCUUAAGUCGGGCCAGGUGCAGUGGCUUAUGCCUGUGGCGUCAGCACUUUGGGAGCACUUUGGGAGGCACAGAUGGCACAGAUGGGAGAAUUGUUCGAGUCCAGGAGUCUGAGACCACCCUGGGCAACAUAGCAAGACCUCCUGUCUAUGCAAAUAAAAAUUAAUAAAAUAUAAUUAUCAUGGGAUAGUGGUAUUUUCCUGUAAAACCAGUUACUCUGGUUGUCGAGGUGGGCAGAUCUUUUGAGGGUGGGAGUUUGAGGCCAGCUUGGGCAACAUAGCAAGGCUCCUCUUUCUAC